UGCCAGCCGCCGCGGUAAUACGGAGGGUGCAAGCGUUGUUCGGAAUUAUUGGGCGUAAAGCGCGUGUAGGCGGUUCGUUAAGUCUGAUGUGAAAGCCCGGGGCUCAACCCCGGAAGUGCAUUGGAAACUGGCGAACUUGAGUACGGGAGAGGAAAGUGGAAUUCCGAGUGUAGGGGUGAAAUCCGUAGAUAUCAGGAGGAACACCGAUGGCGAAGGCGGCUUCCUGGACACCAACUGACGCUGAGACGCGAAAGCGUGGGGAGCAAACAGGAUUAGAUA
rnacentral:rRNA from 1 species